GAAGAUGCAAUCUACCCGCUGCUAGACGGAAAGACCCCGUGAACCUUUACUGUAGCUUUGCAUUGGACUUUGAAGUCACUUGUGUAGGAUAGGUGGGAGGCUUGGAAGCAGAGACGCCAGUCUCUGUGGAGUCGUCCUUGAAAUACCACCCUGGUGUCUUUGAGGUUCUAACCCAGACCCGUCAUCCGGGUCGGGGACCGUGCAUGGUAGGCAGUUUGACUGGGGCGGUCUCCUCCCAAAGCGUAACGGAGGAGUUCGAAGGUUACCUAGGUCCGGUCGGAAAUCGGACUGAUAGUGCAAUGGCAAAAGGUAGCUUAACUGCGAGACCGACAAGUCGGGCAGGUGCGAAAGCAGGACAUAGUGAUCCGGUGGUUCUGUAUGGAAGGGCCAUCGCUCAACGGAUAAAAGGUACUCCGGGGAUAACAGGCUGAUUCCGCCCAAGAGUUCAUAUCGACGGCGGAGUUUGGCACCUCGAUGUCGGCUCAUCACAUCCUGGGGCUGUAGUCGGUCCCAAGGGUAUGGCUGUUCGCCAUUUAAAGUGGUACGUGAGCUGGGUUUAAAACGUCGUGAGACAGUUUGGUCUCUAUCUGCAGUGGGCGUUGGAAGUUUGACGGGGG
rnacentral:rRNA from 1 species